AUCCACCUGACGGACAGACGACUCCGACAAUGACUACCGACAAUGACUGCCGACAAUAUCCGACCGAAGAUAUACUGGCUAAACAGAUCAAUACUGUUUCCAACCGAUCGGACGGUCGAAUCCAUAUCACCGACUCACUGUCGGAGGUGGCAGCCGACAUCCGACUUUCACAAGGCACCAAAUCAGCCGACGGUGUUUUCGAGUCAUCACCCGACGUCACGACAGCCGAAUACCGAC
rnacentral:lncRNA from 1 species